UUUCUUUGCAGAGCUGCGGUUCUGUCUAGAAAACGCUGCCUUCCUUGGUGGGCACAGCACCUGCGGGACUGCGGCCCGGCAGGGCUGCCCAGGUGUCGGGGCACCUCCCAGAUGCAUGAGAGGCCAAUAGCAAGUCAGGGCCACUUUUAAAAGUUUGUCAUGUGGCGUCCCCAAACCCCAGAUUCACCCACUCUCAGAGUGACUUUUGGACCUUAUUGUCCACUUAAAAGAAGAGGGGGCGUUGGCCAGUAAGGGUGGCCCCAGAAGUGCCACUGGGAUGAGAAGGCCUGGGCCACAGCACCCUCCCUGUCCACAGGCAUCUGAGCAUUGAUGUUGAUGGGUCACUGAGGGUCAUCUGUAUAGCUGUGGGGUCACAGCUCACGGCUCUGGGCGCUUGCUGAACCCAGUGCCAGGCCCAGGGGAAGGCUCGCCUGCCUUAGCGCUGCUGCCUCCUGCGAGGGGUGGCUGCCCACGAGCUGCGAGUCCUGUUUCUCUUUCCUUUCACGAUGCAUGCUGUUGGCAUUCCCACUCCCGCUAGCCCAGGUUCCUCGGGAGGACCUCCUGGAGGCAGUGGCUUUGGUCAGAGGCACCGACUCUUUUGCCAGGUGGUUUUGCAGACCCCAAAGGGAGGCCAGACGUUUCCCAUUCCCUCUGAGCCAAGCCGUGCAGGAUGCCCUCCUGUCUUGAAGUGAUGCUGGGAACAAAGCCAACGUCAGGGCCCGGUCACAGAGUGCAGGGUGUGGGCCCCACUCCAGAGCCAGCCAGAUGAGGCUUGUCACUGCCCACACUCGGUCCCAGGCCCCGCAGGUGAAGCGUCCACUCUGGCCGGCACACAGCGUGGUCCUCACCUGCUCUGUGACCAGCUCUUUGGUACUUGAAGAGAGGAUACCCUUUGUAUGUUUACUUGAUUAAUGGCGAAUAUACAGGGGGAGACUCUUAUUUGAGUAUCAAAUUCUGUCUGGGACGCUCUCGGCUCAGCUCUACUUCAGGACGGACCUCUGACGUCAGCCCUGCUCAGGUACGUCCAGGUGUCCUGGUCCCACAGCACUGAGCUGCUGGUGUCCGGCCCUCCCUGCACCCUAGGUGCCAGGCUCUUCCCCUGGAGGCCAUGCCCAGCUGGUGGGUGGUGAGGGCUUUCCUUCUUGGAACCGCCCGCAUGCAGUGCCACGCUGCCUGCUUUUUAAAGGACGAGUUGCACAAGGACCUGCCCGUUCUCCGUACCAAGUCCCCCCUGGAAGCUCCCUGCUCACAGCUCCUGGACACAGCUGGAUGGGGCCCGUGGAGCCCGUGCUGAGCGGAUGUGCUGGUCACCCUGUGGCUGCAGCCUCGAGGGGGCGGUGACCUUGAUGAAGGACGUUGCCGUCACUGCCAUCUAAGGCAAGUGACUGAGUGGAGUCCCCUGAGCCUGCUCUUGUGUUAGGAAUGUCACCUGACCCCUCUGGCCAUUCUUUGGGGACAUUGUCCAGUGGGGAUGCACCACAGUAUGCCUUUUGGGGGUGUAUGUGACCUUUGUGAUUCAGGAUCUGCUUUCUGUGUGUUCUGAGGCAGGUGCAGGUGACACGCUCUUGAGUUCCGUCAUCUUCGAGAAGGGACACUGGUGUGUGUCACCACUCAGACCCGAGAAAGACUCUGGAUGCCUCAUCUUGGAAAGCCACAUCCUCAGGUUUGUGGAGCCCCAUGUGAGUCCCUUCAGAGAGAGGCAGUGUUUCCGUCCCUGGGGGCCGGGUGGUCUGCAGGGGGUUCCUGGGUGCAUGUUGACUCUGUUGAUGGCCCGGCCAUUCCCUGUCUUGGAAGUCAGUUCUGCCGGCUGCCAGGGGAUCCUGGAUCUUUCACCUUUCCAGGUGAGGUCUCAGCUCCCGAGCCGGCCAGUCACUGCCCCCCACUCUGUCCCAGGCCCCGCAGGUGAAACGUCCACUCUGGCCAGCAUGCAGCAUGGUCCUCACUGCUCUUUGGUACUUGAAGAGAGGAUACCCUUUGUAUGUUUACUUGAUUAAUGGCGAAUAUACAGGGGGAGACUCUUAUUUGAGUAUCAAAUUCUGUCUGGGACGCCCCCCGGCUCAGCUGUCCUCCAGGACGGACCCUUGAUGUCAGCCCUGCUCAGGGGCUCCUGACUCACAGCGUCAGCCUUGGAAGGGAGCCGUGAUGUCGGACUUUCAAGGGUAGCAUGAGUGACUGAGUGACCAAGGGCCACAGAGCACCGUCACCAUCCAUGUUCACGAUGGUUUCAUGCAUAUGACAAUCCAGGAGGGCUUCCCGGAAGUGCCGUCGCCUUGUGGAGAAGCCAAGGUUUGCUCGUUAAUGCUGUUCUUUGGUCUGUGGGUGGACGAUUUCUGGUCCACGGUCCCUGAGAUAAAUCUGUGAGACCUGUUUGUGUUUGUCACUUGUCAUUUCGAGUUCUGCCUGCGAUGGUGUCCUGCACAGGAAGCUGUCCCUGGGAACAAGCUGUGAGGGCCAUCAGCCCUGCACCAGGACAACAGUCUGAAGAAGCUGCUGGGGUCCUGGGUUAGCGGAGGCAUUUCUGGGGACCUGUGACCAUCUGCUUUCACGCUCUUCAUGCCCUGGAGUCUUAUGGACCUGAGCCAGCGUCCGGCAGGGCAUCGGCCACCGUCCAAGGGACACGACCGUCCUGUGGAGGAGGUGAGUGUCCACCUGGCAGCGGAGCUCCACUCACCGGUCGCAGCCACCACCUGCUCUUUUUUUAAGGGUGUCUUGGGGGGGGAUGCCCCUGAGUGGGGAGCCGUUUUCUCCAUGUUCACAGUGGUACACGGCUUCUCCACUCAGAAGCAACUCUUCCCCAGCCUGACUUCAUGGACGUGAUGUCAGCCUCUCUGCGAGGGAGUUAGGACAGGAGCUGGCCCUGGGGAGACAGAUGUCAGUGCCUCUGGGGGAGGUAGAAAGGGCCUUUGCUCUACCCGCCAUGUAGAUUUGCUGGGUCCCUUACCCUCCGAGCACAAUGCAUCAUCAGGGAAGCUUCUAGAGGAGGUGCCUACACUAGAGACAGUGGUCCCUCUCCCGGGGGUCCCUGCAGACAGUGAGAGGCCGAGCACCCAGUGCACGUCCUUCAAUGGCACCUGCCGAGGCAGUAAAGCCAGUGAGGGGGCGUCAGAGUCUGCCCUCCCUGGGCUCCUGGGAUGGAGAGCUGGCCGGUGGGCACACACCUGGCAGGUGGUGUCUGCCCCCUGGUCUGCUGAUUCCGUACCUCCCAUCCCUCCCUAGGAUGCCCACCGGGAGACGGGGCCGGCCCCCGGAACGCUAGUGCUGACCUGCCCGUGUUGUUGUUUGGUACUUAAAGCGAGGUUGCCCUUUGUAUAUUCGGCUUAUUGACAUGGAAUAUACAAGGGCAAGCUCUCUGUGAGUAUCAAACGUGGUCUUGGACGGUGCACACUCAGCGAGGGAUGCGGUAUGUGUGUGCAUGACCGUGUGUGUUCCAUCUCGUGUGUGGCCGAUCGCAGACGGAUUCGUGGGCACAGGGACGGCUUCAUGGAAGGCCUGGGGAUAUCCCCUGUCCUGGUCUUGUGUGGGUGGGCCCCAACGCAUGCACUGUGUGUGGUCUGGGUUCUUGUUCCCACGCGGGCAGCCUCCAGGCGGGGCUGAGGGCCGGGUCCGUGCUGGUGUGGGGCCGUGGAUCCAUCCUCCGCCAUGACCUGAGUGUGCAUGUCGUGCUUGGUGUGUGUGACCUGGUCCACUAACCCUCAGCAUCUAAUUCAUCCCCAGGACCCCGCCUUGAAGACAUUCCGCGUCCGCCCACCCAGGGUGGUGGCUUUCUUUUCCGUGCUGACCUUUGGUACUUGGAGAGUGGUUAUCCCUGUCCUGUUCGUGUUACUCAUGUCGAAUCGUACAGGGUCAUCCACUUUUUCAGUAUCAAGAGCGCAGACUCUGGAGCCCGGUUUUCCUGUGUUUGGAUCCUGCCUCUGAUAUUUCCUAACUGCAGCCUUGAGCAAGACGCCUUCAUGCUGUGCCUGUUGUCUCUCGUGUCAAAUGGGAACUGUGUGGGUGUCCGCCGCGCAGGGGUGCCGGGGCUGAAUGAGUCCACAUUUGGGAUAGCCUGGUGCUCGGCACUUUGCAGGGAGUGGCCCUGAUGUCACAGGCUGUGAGGUGUUAUUUCUGGUGUUGGUGAUGCUGGUGCUGAUAUCAAAAUCUCUCCUGGGGCUUUGGGGACAGUAUUGAUAGGGAAGUCACAUUCUCCAUCAGGUAUGUGAGUGGCUUAUGGAGUCAGGGCUCAGACUGGAUUUAGGAUGGGUGCCACCAGAACUCUUGAAGCGCAGCAGCUAAGCCAUUCCCCCAGUGGCUCCUGGAACACGGUGCCCAGGACAGGGGGUUGGCAGACCUGCCUCUGCAGGGUGACCAAGGAUGUUUGCUCCACUUAAGAGAUACAGGCCCUGGUUCUUGACCUCCAUCACCUUCAAAGGGCCCUUGAGUGAGAAUGCCAGGCUGAGCUGGGUGAGGUCCUGUGGCAUCUUGCCUCCCUGCUGCUUAAAGAGAGGCCCUCCACGGCACGUGUGUCCUGCAUGCACGUGUGUCCUGCAUGCACGUGGUGCUCAUCGCAGUCACCAGCCAACACUGGGCCAGAGUCCUGGAGGUGCUGAUCUUUCCAUCUGUGCUGCUGUUCACCCUGGAGGAGAAAUUAUCCUUGGUGUAUUCACUUUAUUGGGGAUGAAUCAUACAAGGACAAUUUCUUUUUGAGUAUCAAAUCCUGCCUCGGCGGACUUCCUGGACGCCAUGAGGAGUUGUGUAGACAUGCAUGUGCCAGCCUCUCCCCGGGUGGGGAGAGAGCAUGCAGCUGGCGUGAGGUGCGUGCUAUGCUCUACCCCCAGGGCCCUAGAGGUGGGGCCAAGCUUGGCAGGGUCCAGCGGACUCCUUGGUGCUGUCACAGAUCUGCAAGGACCACGGGCCUUUCUCGUGGGUGACAGCGUAUCAAAUCCUGCUUCUUGGAAGCACCUCUUGGACCUGGAGCCAAGCUCUCGGGGACAGAUUAUCAGGUUAGACUCCCUUCUCCUGCCCAAGGGUGUGACUGACGCCCCCCCAGGCAUGUCUUGACUCUCAGUGUGUGAAGCUCACCUACUAACCCUUCUGGUCUGGACCGCUUGAGAAGAACAUGCCGGAAGAGACCCCCUGUCUUUGGAGAAGAAGCCGAGGUCUCCUUUGAUGGUGCGGUUCUUUGGUGCUUAAAGAAUGGUUGUCCGUAGUAUGGUCUCUAUAUUUAUGAUGAUUAAUAUCGGACAACCAUUGUUUUAGUAUCCAAACUUGCUUCAGAAGUUUUCUCGAGCACAGUGCUGACUUCAGCAAGAGGACAUCGGUGCCUGCCCCACCACGGAAUGUGACUUCACUGACAAUCUGUCAUCACUAACUCAGUGACCCUAGAGUGUAGACCACCUGUGUGAUUGCCCCGGAUUAACAUCAGCUCUGGUGUGCAGACGCCCCUGGGUUUGGGGCCGUAGUGUUCUGCUUGGAAGUUACUGACCAUCUUUCGUCUGUCUUUCUCUUCUUAGUAAAUCUUAGCCUUGAGGGAUUCCUUGUGGAGGUGUGGGGGUCGAGCACCUGUCUAGGCACAUAGAGGGUGGACUGGGGGUGUCUGACCCAGCAUCCACUGAUCCUUGGCCUUGUUCUGUGCACGGAAGACUUGCUGUGGGUGGUACAGAUAGAAAUGAGAACAUUUCCGACCACCACGAGUUCUUGUGGCUCCUAAGCUGCUGCCCAUUGGGAUACAUAGUUUAUUCUUGGUGGGCGAGACGUUGGCCUCAUGCCUUCUUUGGGACCGACAUCAUCCGAGACUCUCAUCUGGAAAGAGGCAUUGUGGUCACAGCACCUCUGGGGUGGGGCGCGUCUGCGUGUCUGAGUCGUUGGCUAGAGUGGUGUUUCUCGAACUCUAGAAUGUUCCUAAGAUUUUCAUCAGCUAGGGAUCUUGUUAAAAAGCAGAUUCUGAUUCAGGGACCAAGAUUCUGCAUUUUUAGCAAGUUCUCAAGUGAUGCUAAUGCUGCUGGUCUGUGGACGACACUCGCGGCCAUUUGGGGCUGGAGAUGAUGUGCUUUAUUUGUGAUGUGUGUCCCUUGUCUCCCCACAUUCCCUUCGCCAUCCAUCACCAGGGCACUUCCUGGAAUCAAUGUGGUGUUCUUUGGGUUUUCAACUGUGGUUAUCGGUGAUGGGUUCACUUUCUGGAUAAAUGUCAUGAGAUUACUGUUCUUUAAAAUCAAAUCAUGCCUGGAAGGGCUUCCCAGAUACGAGGCCUGCUCCGGGGAGGGUCUGCCGGUGUCAACCCACUGCAAGACGUGUCGGGUGCUGGGUGCACAGAGCUUCCCCGUCACCGAGGACACAGGCCGUCUGACUCUGUAACACUCCAUUUCCAGUCAGUCCUAAGGAGCAAUUCCUGGAACCCAGGCCGUCUCUGCAGGAGGGAUCCUGUCCGCAGGGGCCAGUGGCUCCCCGUUUUCUCAGAAGAGGUAUCAUCCAUGAUGACUUUGUUCACCGGGGCUGUACGUCCACCUGCCGGCUCCUGGUCAUCAGAUCCAUCUCUCAGGAAUGCUGGGGUAGUAGACUGUUUGUUGUUUUUUGUUU